ACAAACUUGGUCAUUUAGAGGAAGUAAAAGUCGUAACAAGGUAACCGUAGGUGAACCUGCGGUUGGAUCAUUAUUGAAUUUAAACAAAAAAAUUUUAACCCCUUUGAGUUCUUUUUUCCUCAAGGAGUUUUUCUCUUUGGGUUGAGAAUUGAGUUCUUUUGGGUUAAAUUUUUUUAUUUACACCUAGUUGCUUAUUAAAACUGUAUUUUGGGUUUAAAAAAAACGAAAGGGUAAAAUUUUUAACCCGAGUUCUUUUUUAAACCCAAACAAUUUUAUAAACCCCUAAAAAAUUAUUUUUGCCUGAAAUUCGUUUAUUAAAAAAACACAACUUUUGACAACGGAUCUCUUGGCUCUCGCAUCGAUGAAGAACGCAGC
rnacentral:misc_RNA from 1 species